rnacentral:rRNA from 1 species
GAUGAACGCUGGCGGCGUGCCUAAUACAUGCAAGUCGAGCGAACAGACGAGGAGCUUGCUCCUCUGACGUUAGCGGCGGACGGGUGAGUAACACGUGGAUAACCUACCUAUAAGACUGGGAUAACUUCGGGAAACCGGAGCUAAUACCGGAUAAUAUAUUGAACCGCAUGGUUCAAUAGUGAAAGACGGUUUUGCUGUCACUUAUAGAUGGAUCCGCGCCGCUUUAGCUAGUUGGUAAGGUAACGGCUUACCAAGGCAACGAUGCGUAGCCGACCUGAGAGGGUGAUCGGCCAAACUGGAACUGAGCCACGGUCCAGACUCCUACGGGAGGCAGCAGUAGGGAAUCUUCCGCAAUGGGCGAAAGCCUGACGGAACAACGCCGCGUGAGUGAUGAAGGUCUUCGGAUCGUAAAACUCUGUUAUUAGGGAAGAACAAAUGUGUAAGUAACUAUGCACGUCUUGACGGUACCUAAUCAGAAAGCCACGGCUAACUACGUG